CCCUUCUCCUCACUCUUUCUCUUCCUCUCUCUCACUCUCUCUCCUCUCCCUCUUUCUAUUCCUCUUCCGGCGACGAGCACGAGUGGGCGGCGUGCGCGUGCCGGCAGCUGGCGGCCGCCGCAUCGUCCCCGUCGCUCGGGCUGCCCCCUCCGCAGCGGCGCUGACCCCGACGACAACGAGGAGGCGCGACCCCGGCAACGACGACGCCGACCCCGACGACGAGUGGGCGGUGACGCGGGCCUCGUCCCGCCCGGAUCCGGCGGCGGCGGGCCUCGUCACACCCGGAUCCGGCGGCGGCGGGCCUCGUCCCGCCCGGAUCCGGAGGCGGGAGUGGGCGGCGGCGGCGCGGCGGAUCCGGCUCGGGCGCGGCGUCGACGACGGUGGCGGGCGGCAGCGGCGAGGUCGGGCACGGCGGAUCCAGAGCGGUUGCGAGCGGUGGCGGCGAGCUCGGACACGACGACGACCUCGGCGACGACGACGGCGGCGGAUCCGGCUCGGGCGCGGCGACAACGACGGCGGCGGGCGGCGGCUAGCUCGGGCGCGACGACGACCUCGGCAACGACGAAGGCGGCGCACGUCGGCGAGGUUGGGCGCGACGGAUCCAGCGCGGUGGCGGGCGGCGGCGGUGAGCUCGGUUUUGCGAAGAAGGGGGAAAAGAAGAGGAUGAGUAUGUAUUGCUAGAGUUGGAUGAUUGUCUUUAUCUGACAUAAAACCAAAUGCUCCAUAUGUGCUCUCUGUAAGUUGGUCCUCCAUUUUUUUAAUCAGUGGCUUAAUGGUACGGAUGGGCACGCUUUGAGUGUACAAAAUCUGUUUCUCUGAAUGUUUUUAAUCAGUGGCUUAAUGGUACGGAUGGGCACGCUUUGAGUGUACAAAAUCUGUUUCUCUGAAUGUUAGAUUUUAGUUGUGCAUGUAGUUCCCAGAAGUAGCUCUAAGAUUUCCUUUGUAGCAGAACGACCAACAUUAAAAAUGCCAUAUGCGCAUAGAAAUGUAGCAGUGAGCUCUGUGCUGAUUAUCUAGGAGAGCUCUUGCCAUCAGCAUUUAAAAUCGCCUAAUAGAAUUACAGAAGGACAAAGACAUAUAUGUUUCAUUUAUUUUGAAAAUAGGAACUGAACUUAAGCUCAGUUGGUUGACUUGAACUUGGAUGCCUAUUUCUUGUCUAUAAAUUGAUACUGAGAUUCUCCUUGUCAUCCAUCACCUUUUUUAUAUAUAUUUUGAGCAGCCUUUGUUGCUACAAAGUGCUACCAGUGUGUGUUAUGUGGUAGCUUUGGGGAGAAAAUAUAUAGUCUACCAUGUGAUGUGAGAAAAUGGUAUGCCAGCACAUAUUCUGCUUAUUAAUCUUUUUAAUGCCAUGAUUUAUGGACGUGAAAAUAACAAAGUUAAGUUUUUCUCCCACAUCCUUUGAUCACUGAGACGUUGGCUCAUAUCUAUUUCAAAAAGUUUGUUCACUGUCUUUAUCUCAUACUGAACACUACUGAGUUUUUCUUGUCAUGUUUUCCAGGGUAUCUGAUUCCUUCUGGUCGUCCUCGUCUUGAUCCAGAUCAAGCGUGAUCCCAAUCUGCGCGCUUACUUUCUUGGCUUGGAUUGAUUGAUUGAAAAUGUGUGUUUCUCAGGCCGCCUCCUGUUAUUAGGUUGAAUCUGAGAUGAACUAUUAUUUAAAUUCUGUUGUAUUCUGGUUGUAUCUAUUAUUAGUUGAAUCUGAUAUGGUAUCAGUUGUUAGGUUUGAAUCUGAGAUAUAUGAGAAAUUGGAUUGAAUUUGGUGGGCUCAAAUUUAAUGGGCUUAUUUAGU